AUAUUGCACAAUGGGCGAAAGCCUGAUGCAGACACGCCGCAUGAGUGAUGAAGUCNCUNNGUUCGNANAGCUAUUUGACCUGGNNNNNAAAUGCCAGUAACUGUAAAACAAGCCACGGCUAACUACGUGCCAGCAGCCGCGGUAAUACGUAGGUGGCGAGCGUUGUCCGGAAUUACUGGGCGUAAAGGAUGCGUAGGUGGAUAUUUAAGUGGGAUGCGAAAUCCCCGGGCUCAACCCGGGAACUGCAUUCCAAACUGGGUAUCUAGAGUGCAGGAGAGGAAAGCGGAAUUCCUAGUGUAGCGGUGAAAUGCGUAGAUAUUAGGAGGAACACCAGUGGCGAAGGCGGCUUUCUGGACUGUAACUGACACUGAGGCAUGAAAGCGUGGGUAGCAAACAGG
rnacentral:rRNA from 1 species